rnacentral:rRNA from 1 species
UACGUAGGGUCCGAGCGUUGUCCGGAGUUACUGGGCGUAAAGCGCGCGCAGGCGGCGGUGCUGGCCCGGCGUGAAAGCCCCCGGCUCAACCGGGGAGAGUCGUCGGGGACCGCACCGCUUGAGGGCGGUAGGGGCUGGUGGAAUGCCUGGUGUAGUGGUGAAAUGCGUAGAGAUCAGGCAGAACACCUGGGGCGAAGGCGGCCAGCUGGGCCGUCCCUGACGCUGAGGCGCGAAGGCGUGGGGAGCGA